AUGGGUCGGCGGCUGAUUAGGUAGUUGGUGAGGUAAUGGCUCACCAAGCCUAAGAUCAGUAGGGGUCCUGAAAGCGGUAGCCCGAAGAAGGGCUCUGAGACACUAGUCCCAGCCCUACGGGGUGCAGCAGGCGGGGAUUUUUUGCAAUGCGCGAAAGCGUGACAGAGGGAUCCAGAGUGCUUUUCCAUACUGGAAAAGCUUUUGCCAGCUGUAAAAAGGCUGGCGAAUAAGGACUGGGCAAGACCGGUGCCAGCCGCCGCGGUAAUCCCGGCGGCACAAGUCGCAACCACAAUUAUUGGGUCUAAAGCAUCCGUAGCUGGCUUUGUAAGUCUUUUGUGAAAUUCUGUCUCUUAACGGCAGAGCUUGCAAAAGAUACUGCAGAGCUUGAGACUGGGGGACGUAAGGAGUACAUUCGGGGUAGUGGUAAAAUACGAUAAUCCUCAGUGGACUACCGAUGGCGAAGGCACCUUACGAGAACAGUUCUGACAGUGAGGGAUGAAGGCUAGGGGAGCAAAACGGAUUAGAUACCCGAGUAGUCCUAGCAGUAAACACUGCGCACUAGGUGUUGCGACCUCCUCGAGAAGUUGCAGUGCUGAAGCGAAGGCGAUAAGCUCGCCGCCUGGGAAGUACGGUCGCAAGACCGAAACUUAA
rnacentral:rRNA from 1 species